UACGGGGGGAGCAAGCGUUGUUCGGAUUUACUGGGCGUAAAGGGCGCGUAGGCGGCCACCGCAAGUCAGUUGUGAAAUCUCUGGGCUUAACCCAGAAAGGUCAACUGAUACUGCGGGGCUAGAGUGCAGAAGGGGCAACUGGAAUUCUCGGUGUAGCGGUGAAAUGCGUAGAUAUCGAGAGGAACACCUGCGGCGAGGGCGGGUUGCUGGGCUGACACUGACGCUGAAGCGCGAAAGCUAGGGGAGCGAACGGG
rnacentral:rRNA from 1 species